ACAGCAGUCGCCGCGGUAACACGGAGGGGGCUAGCGUUGUUCGGAAUUACUGGGCGUAAAGCGCACGUAGGCGGCUUGGUAAGUUAGAGGUGAAAGCCUGGAGCUCAACUCCAGAAUUGCCUUUAAGACUGCCGAGCUAGUAGGUGAGAGAGGUAAGUGGAAUUCCGAGUGUAGAGGUGAAAUUCGUAGAUAUUCGGAAGAACACCAGUGGCGAAGGCGGCUUACUGGCUCAUUCUAGACGCUGAGGUGCGAAAGCGUGGGGAGCAAACAGGAUUAGAUACCCGAGUAGUCCCUGUCUCUUAUAC
rnacentral:rRNA from 1 species